CCUACGGGGGGCUGCAGUGGGGAAUCUUGCACAAUGGGCGAAAGCCUGAUGCAGCGACGCCGCGUGCGCGAUGACGCCUUUCGGGGUGUAAAGCGCUUUCGGUCCGGACGAUAAUGACGGUACGGGCAGAAGAAGCUGCGGCUAACUACGUGCCAGCAGCCGCGGUAAUACGUAGGCAGCGAGCGUUGUUCGGAGUUACUGGGCGUAAAGAGUGCGUAGGCGGCAUGGCAAGUCUGGUGUGAAAUCUCCCGGCUCAACCGGGAGGGUGCGCCGGA
rnacentral:rRNA from 1 species